GAUCCUGGCUUAGGAUGAACGCUAGCGGCAGGCUUAACACAUGCAAGUCGAGGGGCAUCGGGAGUAGCAAUACUGCCGGCGACCGGCGCAAGGGUGCGUAACGCGUGAGCAACAUGCCCGUAUCAGGGGGAUAAUCCAUGGAAACGUGGUCUAAUACCCCAUAGUAAUUAUGUAAGGCAUCUUAUAUAAUUUAAAGCUUUUGGUGGAUACGGAUUGGCUCGCGUGACAUUAGCUGGAUGGUAAGGUAACGGCUUACCAUGGCUACGAUGUCUAGGGGUUCUGAGAGGAAGGUCCCCCCACACUGGAACUGAGACACGGUCCAGACUCCUACGGGAGGCAGCAGUGAGGAAUAUUGGACAAUGGAUGGAAAUCUGAUCCAGCCAUGCCGCGUGCAAGGAAGACGGCCCUAUGGGUUGUAAACUGCUUUUGUAUGGGAGCAAUAAGGGCUACGUGUAGUCCGAUGAGAGUACCAUACGAAUAAGCACCGGCUAACUCCGUGCCAGCCGCUGC
rnacentral:rRNA from 1 species